UACGUAGGGUGCAAGCGUUGUCCGGAAUUAUUGGGCGUAAAGAGCGUGUAGGCGGUUUGGUAGGUCCGCUGUGAAAACUCGAGGCUCAACCUCGAGACGCCGGUGGAAACCAUCAGACUAGAGUCCGGAAGAGGAGAGUGGAAUUCCUGGUGUAGCGGUGAAAUGCGCAGAUAUCAGGAGGAACACCGGUGGCGAAGGCGGGUCUCUGGGCCGAUACUGACGCUGAGGAGCGAAAGCGUGGGGAGCGAACAGG
rnacentral:rRNA from 1 species